AUAAGUUAUAUAACUGUUAUUCCGCAGAACAUCAAUUUGCAAAGUACCCAGCUAGCACAAUAGCAGCAUCGAGUAUAGCCGCUUCAAUGCGUGGGCUAAAAUGGCAUCUUCGCACAGGCCAUAGUCUUCCCUUUUUAUUAGGUCUACUUACGGACUUAACCAGCAUCGAACAAGUUCAACUGCAAGAGUGUAUGUUGCAUAUGGAGAACAUUUUUGAAGAGCACAGUCGCAACCUGCAGCCGUUUUUUGUUGACAUUCAACCUCCUAACUCUGCAAAAAUGUACUGCCAGAGACGUAAUCAGACUCAUCCAAACCAGCAAUAUCAUCAGCAGCGCCCGCAACGCAUGAGGCAAAUGCCAAUACCCUCCCUAACAUUUACUACUGCUGACACCAACGCUGAUCAAAAUUGCUUUAAGGCUACCCUACCCUAUCGGACGCAAACAUUUAAGAUUCUAGGGCAGGCUAAAAUUGAGUUACAAGACAUAAAAUUUUGAGAAAAGUAUUUUUUGAGCUAGUAUACUAAAUAUUAGUAUUUAAAUAUAUAUUAGUUUCCUCCAAGUCUUUGUAAAUUAAAUUACACAUAAAAAAGAAGAAUACAUAAUAAUUAACAUUA